UAGAAAGAGAAUCUAGGGCUGUCCCAAGCUCCUCGUCAUCUAGUUUCGGGCUACAUGGGAAAGAACCAUGCCCAAACCCAAAGAAGGGAAAAGAUUAUGUGGGUAUAGCUGCUAAGAAGUCAUCCACAAUGCAUGAUUCUGAUUUGAGUAGUGAAGAACAAAAAUAAUUCACCCGCUUUCCCCAAUUUGUGCAUGAUUCUGGUCACGAUUGAGGGCAACAAUGUCUGUAUCCUGAUAAAGAGCUCCUUCCAGAUGACAGGGAAAUGAGUGUAUACAAUCAUCUUGAAGAGCCGAGACAACGAAUAUUUGCGUCCGUUAUGGCAGUCAGUGCUGCUAUUUUGGGAUGCUUUGCAUUCUCAAAAGAAUUAAUAAGGAUCCUGGAAGCUCCCGUCAAAACACAAGGUGUUCAAUUUCUGUAACUGGCUCCCGGGGAAUUCUUCUUUAUAACUUUGAAGGUUUUUGGAUACUGCGGUCUUCUCCUAGGAAGCCCCGUUUUUCUCUAUGAGAUCAUAGCGUUUGUUCUUCCAGGUCUAACGAGAGCAGAAAGAAGGUUCCUUGGGCCUGUUGUUUUUGGGGUCUUUUGUACUUUUCUAUGCUCGCAUUGUGCUCUCCUACCAUUUCAAACUUUUAUCAAGACGUUUUAAAAAAUGUUUCAUGAGGGUUCUGCUCGCCUGUGUUUUGACUUAACCAUGGAGAUUGUUUCUGAAAAUUUCAUGGAAUGUUUCUUGGAGGAUGAUACCUUAACAGAUGGGGGAUCGCAAUGUGGACAUAGUUUUCAUAAUGGAAACAGGGCAAGGGUUUUUUCCGCCCAACAAAUUGAUAAAUUGGUUUUGAUAGUUGAUGUUUUUGCAUGGAAAAAUGGAAUCGGAAGGAGUUUUCACUGCCCAA